rnacentral:tRNA from 1 species
GUCCCAGUAGCUCAAUUGGAUAGAGCAUCCCCCUCCUAAGGGGAAGGUUGGCCGUUCUUAUCUGGGGUG